GAGUUUGAUCAUGGCUCAGGACGAACGCUGGCGGCACGCCUAACACAUGCAAGUCGAACGGAGAUAUUUUGGUUUACUGAGAUAUCUUAGUGGCGGACGGGUGAGUAACACGUGAGCAACCUGCCUCUGAGAGAGGGAUAGCUUCUGGAAACGGAUGGUAAUACCUCAUAACAUAACGAAGCCGCAUGACUUUGUUAUCAAAGAUUUAUCACUCAGAGAUGGGCUCGCGUCUGAUUAGAUAGUUGGUGAGGUAACGGCUCACCAAGUCGACGAUCAGUAGCCGGACUGAGAGGUUGAACGGCCACAUUGGGACUGAGACACGGCCCAGACUCCUACGGGAGGCAGCAGUGGGGAAUAUUGCACAAUGGGGGAAACCCUGAUGCAGCGAUGCCGCGUGGAGGAAGAAGGUUUUCGGAUUGUAAACUCCUGUCUUAAAGGACGAUAAUGACGGUWCUUAGAAGA
rnacentral:rRNA from 1 species